rnacentral:pre_miRNA from 1 species
CAUAUACUCCCUCUGUCCGGAAAAGCUUGUCCCUCAAAUGGAUGUAUCUAGCACUAACUUGGUGCUAGAUACAUCCAUUUGACGGACAAGCUUUUCCGGACGGAGGGAGUAUAAA